rnacentral:tRNA from 1 species
GCUCCCGUGGGGUAGCAGGACACCGCCAUCCCGCGGCCCGUUCGAGGCCGAGAGGCGCGUUCGAAUCGCGCCGGGAGCA